UAAAUGCUCUCGGCUGCCUUUUGUUUAGGAAUGAAGUGGUUGUUCUUACCUUUGUUUUUCUGUUUUGCAGGCUUGGAGUAAAUGCCAGGGGAAGUAAUUGCUAAAUUUAAAAUUACUUUGCAUCACUGAAGAUGGCUGCAAUAAGCACAGUGACGGGAGAAGAAAUUACACAUCCUUUAGCUCAAUAUAUAUUAACCUAUAAAGUUUUACAGGACAACAACAUUUCUAUAUAGCCAAGCUUUCUUUUCUCCUGUGGAAAAUGCCAACAAAAUCCAAGGAAAAAAUGGCAAUUUGUCUAAAAUUCCAGGAAACUGUCACUUUUUUUUCGAUGGAAAAUUUAGUGUUGAAAGAAAUACAAAGUGAAAUCUUCUGCAGAUGCUUCUGGAAGUUGUACCUUGGCCGUGGCACAUCAAGAAAGGUAGUGCAGUCUACUGGGGAGAAGAACAGCACCCCCCAGGUGCUGAUUUUGGGGCAUUUGGAUUUUCAGCAAAUGUGGAAGUUUCCUGCAGGAAACAGCCCCUUUCCAUGGCAUUAAGUUUAGUAAAACUCACUGUUGUAUGCUAAAAAUAACUUCAAUGGAAGAUCACUGGAUUUGCAGCUGAAUACAAGGCUUUAACCUGUGGCCUAGCAAAAGCUGCUGACCACAAGGCUAUCUUGAUAUCUAAGCCAGCCAUUUGGUUUAUGUUAAGUAACUAUUUUAACUGUCAACCAUUUUCAAGUGAAUCUGUGUGCUGUGAAUGAGGUGCCGUUUCAGGAAUGUGGAAGAUGGUACAACCUGAGACAGAAAAGCAGACAGGAAUGUGGAAAACAACAUGUAAUCGGUAACAGAGUCUGAGAUGAACAUGUGCAACAAGGUGAUUGAUGAAGAAGUUUUCAGAAGAGUCCAGGUUUUGGUCAAAGUCCACCCAUUGACCAAAGAAGAGGAGUCAGGGUCUUAGAUAUGCACUCAUAGCAAAAAGACAUGUAAAUGAAUGAAAUGAAUAGGCAAUUCUAUGCUAAUGAAGCAAACAGUUAAAAGAGGUGGAGCUUGAGAUGGGAGGAGAAAUAGGUGGGACAUAGGAGGGGCGAGGGUAGAACGAAUGGUAAUGAGUAUAAACCAAAAUGUAUAAAUGUGGGGGGGGAAAAAAACUAUUGUUCAUUGUCGCUCCCCGUGUUCACGGGCUGGGUAUCGGUGAGGGAGCUCGCCCGAAGCAGUCUCCAGUCUGAAUAAUGCUGUUGUGAGCAAUGUGCGCUGGUGUUUGCUCCCUGCUUGCUCUGGCUAAUGAGCACCAGGACCCGUGAGCAAUUGGACCAUCCUCUCCCUAGUCGUUGGGCGCCGCAUGCAGUCAGGGGUCUACCAAGACGUUUUUGACCAGUCUUAUUUAAAAACAUUGGGGCAAGAAGCCAUCUCUCACGUGCCCGCAGAGCGUGCAAGUAUGACCGGAGCCCCGUAGAGUGCAGGUGCCUGUUGGUGCCGCCUGCCACAGCCAGGUUUAAAAGCAGUCUGAAUAUAGAGGUGUUCAUUUCCAUUAUGGAUUUCUGGACCUAGUUUUGUAACAGGAAUUACACAUGCAGCUCGCUCUUCCCGGGGCCCAGCUGUGCCCGCGGAGGAGCAGCCCCCGCUCCCGCGCUCUUUCUGUUGGUGGUAAAAUCUCAAUACAUAUUUCGCUACUGCUCACAGUCCUGAUUUAUGCAUCUGCUCGCCCCACUGCUGCUCGCCCCGUGGUACAUCUCAUCUGUUGGCCGCGUUUUCCUUUUUAUCAGCUUCUCGUCGGUCAGAAAAUAAACCUCAGACUGGGUGAAUCGAUUGGUAAUGCUUAAAUUGGCAGUGACUAGACAGUGCUUCCUCUGCGUGUGAUGGAGUCAGCGCCGGCCAUCUUUCUGCAGCAGCAUUGGUAAUGGCUUGAUGUUGACCCACCGAUGCUGUCCAGCGGAGAGGCGUUCCAGAUCGUUUGGCAGAACAAACUGAAAGCCCAUCUGCAUUUUGUAAUUAUCUUCUGGAUGCUGGAUCUUGCUGUAGCCAUGCGGUGAUGGCCAUCUAGAUCCAACGCAGCAGGGGAAAGGCUGGGAAAGGUCACUUUUCUGGAGGGUGACUGUAAGGUUUGCAUUUCCACAUCCAUCUGGGCUGGGCUCUCUUAUUGACCUCUUUUCUAGGUUUUCUGGGUGACCUCACACAGUCAGUAUCUGCUAAAAUUAAAUUCUGACUUUUCCCUC